GCAUUGGUGGUUCAGUGGUAGAAUUCUCGCCUGCCACGCGGGACGGCCGGGUUUCAUUCCCGGCCAAUGCA
rnacentral:tRNA from 1 species